UACGUAGGGUGCAAGCGUUGUCCGGAAUUAUUGGGCGUAAAGAGCUCGUAGGCGGUUUGUCGCGUCUGCUGUGAAAACCCGAGGCUCAACCUCGGGCCUGCAGUGGGUACGGGCAGACUAGAGUGCGGUAGGGGAGAUUGGAAUUCCUGGUGUAGCGGUGGAAUGCGCAGAUAUCAGGAGGAACACCAAUUGCGAAGGCAGCUCGCUGGGACGUCACUGACGCUGAGACGCGAAAGCGUGGGGAGCAAACAGG
rnacentral:rRNA from 1 species